rnacentral:rRNA from 1 species
AGGAUGAACGCUGGCGGCGUGCUUAACACAUGCAAGUCGAACGAUCCUUCGGGAUAGUGGCGCACGGGUGAGGAACACGUAGCUAACCUGCCUCAGAGUACAGAAUAACUCCUCGAAAGAGGCGCUAAUACUGUAUAAGCUCACGAGUUGUAGAUACUCAUGAGAAAAGAUUUAUCGC